AUUGAACGCUGGCGGCAUGCUUUACACAUGCAAGUCGAACGGCAGCGCGGGCUUCGGCCUGGCGGCGAGUGGCGAACGGGUGAGUAAUACAUCGGAACGUGCCCAGUAGUGGGGGAUAGCUCGGCGAAAGCCGGAUUAAUACCGCAUACGACCUGAGGGUGAAAGCGGGGGAUCUUCGGACCUCGCGCUAUUGGAGCGGCCGAUGGCAGAUUAGCUAGUUGGUGGGGUAAAGGCCUACCAAGGCGACGAUCUGUAGCUGGUCUGAGAGGACGACCAGCCACACUGGGACUGAGACACGGCCCAGACUCCUACGGGAGGCAGCAGUGGGGAAUCUUGGACAAUGGGCGAAAGCCUGAUCCAGCAAUGCCGCGUGUGUGAUGAAGGCCUUCGGGUUGUAAAGCACUUUUGGCGGGAACGAAAAGGACUGUGCCAAUACCACGGCUCGAUGACGGUACCCGCAGAAUAAGCACCGGCUAACUACGUG
rnacentral:rRNA from 1 species